UACGUAGGGGACGAGCGUUAUCCGGAUUCAUUGGGCGUAAAGAGCGCGUAGGCGGCCUUUCAAGCGGGAUCUCUAAUCCGAGGGCUCAACCCCCGGCCGGAUCCCGAACUGGGAGGCUCGAGUUCGGUAGAGGCAGGCGGAAUUCCCGGUGUAGCGGUGGAAUGCGCAGAUAUCGGGAAGAACACCGAUGGCGAAGGCAGCCUGCUGGGCCGAAACUGACGCUGAGGCGCGAAAGCUAGGGGAGCGAACAGGAUUAGAUACCCCGGUAGUCCCUGAG
rnacentral:rRNA from 1 species